rnacentral:lncRNA from 1 species
UUCCCCCUCAACCUAACCCUAAACUUAGAAAAUAAGUUUGAUCCGCUGGUGCACUGCUAUGGCAUUUCUUUGUGCAUCACAUUUUGGUCAAUUAAUGGGUGUAUCAUAUUUAAAGUUUUCAUCUUCGGCAACAUCUCCUAAAUUCAGCUCCAAAUAGCACAUAAUGUGUAUUGGACGGCCGCAUGGUAACAAUUCAAUCACACCAAACUCAUGAAAAUCAAUUAGAAGGUUUUGCAGCAACCGACAUCUGUAUCAAAGGUAGACCACUCUUUGCCUUAAUCUUUCUAGUCUGAAGGCACCUCCAUAUCAACCAGCUCCUCCGGUGGUAGUGGCUCUGGGAACAGAGAGAGGUGAAAAGGUAUGUAUGCGAUUAUGUCUUCGUCACACCAACAACGUGCUCGAUUUAGAUUAUUGAUAAAGCAUGUUAUGUGCACUAUAUGCAUUAGGAUGCACGGAUGUGAAAAAAUGACAACCUCGACAUCUCUUAUAGGGGACCAACAAGUAACAAAAUUCUCUGCUUUUAACCAAUUGACGAAGGCCAAUUUCUUCAUUCUCU